CAGCCGCCACGGUAAUACGUAGGUGGCAAGCGUUGUCCGGAAUUAUUGGGCGUAAAGGGCUCGCAGGCGGUUUCUUAAGUCUGAUGUGAAAGCCCCCGGCUCAACCGGGGAGGGUCAUUGGAAACUGUUAAACUUGAGUGCAGGAGAGAAAAGUGGAAUUCCUAGUGUAGCGGUGAAAUGCGUAGAGAUUAGGAGGAACACCAGUGGCGAAGGCGGCUUUUUGGCCUGUAACUGACACUGAGGCGCGAAAGCGCGGGGAGCAAACAGGAUUAGAUACCCCUGUAGUCCCUGUCUCUUAUAA
rnacentral:rRNA from 1 species